GUGGGGAAUAUUGGGCAAUGGGGGAAACCCUGACCCAGCGACGCCGCGUGGGUGAAGAAAUCCUUCGGGAUGUAAAGCCCUGUUGUAUGGGAAGAGCGGAAGACGGUACCAUACGAGGAAGCCCCGGCAAACUACGUGCCAGCAGCCGCGGUAAUACGUAGGGGGCAAGCGUUGUCCGGAAUUACUGGGCGUAAAGCGCACGCAGGCUGAAUUAUAAGUCGGUAGUCAAAGGCGGAGGCUCAACCUCUGUAUAUCUAUCGAUACUGUAAAUCUGGAGUAUGUGAGAGGGAAGCGGAAUUCCCGGUGUAGCGAUGAAAUGCGUAGAUAUCGGGAGGAACACCAGUGGCGAAGGCGGCUUCCUGGCACAAUACUGACGCUCAUGUGCGAAAGCUAGGGCAGCGAACGGGAUUAGAAACCCGGGUAGUCC
rnacentral:rRNA from 1 species